UGAGAUCCAAUAGAAUAGGGUUUUACAAGGGUUUUGAUCCUGAAAAAUAAUCUUAAAAAACUUAUGCUACCUGGGGAGAAAGCUCCCCUUUUAUCCAUUUCGCUUUGCUUACUGGUGACGUAUAAAGGCCUCUCCGUGAUUGGGACACGCUUCUCUAACAUACAGAUUCGGGUGUACGAGGGUAUCAGCCGCCUGCUCCAUGCGUAACGGCCUCUGAUUCUCCUUGUGUGUACGUUCGAGCAGAUCUGCCAGGCUGUCUGAGUAGGGCUCUAGAUACUGGGCUGGGCC
rnacentral:lncRNA from 1 species